rnacentral:rRNA from 1 species
UACAGAGACUGCAAGCGUUAUUCGGAUUCGCUGGGCGUAAAGGGUGCGCAGGCGGCCAAGUGUGUGAGGCGUGAAAGCCCGGGGCUUAACCCCGGAAUUGCACCUCAAACUACAUGGCUAGAGCAUUGGAGAGGGUAGCAGAAUUCAUGGUGUAGCAGUGAAAUGCGUAGAUAUCAUGAGGAAUACCAGAGGCGAAGGCGGCUACCUGGACAAUUGCUGACGCUCAGGCACGAAAGCGUGGGGAGCAAAAGGG